GAGAGACAUCGAGUCUUUGACGCCAAGUUGCGCCCGAAGCCUUCGGGCCGAGGGCACGCCUGCCUGGGCGUCACGC
rnacentral:rRNA from 1 species